UCAUGAGACGAGACUUAGCUUUUGUUUAAAUCCGAUAGCCUGGAUUAACAAUAGAAAUUCCCUGAUUUUAUCUCAGAAUAAUAGUUCAUGCAUACGAGAUUCAUGCAUAGUUUAAUUACGCAUUCUCAUUUAAUUGAGAAUUUUCCCUCGAUUUAAAGUCUUACGUUAUUUUCUCGGAUUAAAGGUCGAGCGCAAGAAUAAGAGCUCGUCAAGGAGUCACUAAUCUGUAGCAAAGCUUUGCUAUCAGGUUGAGCAGCUGCCGAUGGUGAUGAAGUGACGAGCGGGACUCUUUUGUCUUAUUAUGUAUUAAUGAACUCUAGGGUUACAUGUCUUCAUACAUGUAAUCAGAACCUUAUUCCGCUGCGUACUCAGAAGUUUUAUGUUAUUUUGGAUAAGUCGGAGUUAUCCGAACUUACUAGUUAUUUGAGUCUAUACGACUAAAACUCCGUUAUAUUAUAAAUAUCCCU